rnacentral:rRNA from 1 species
AUGGCUCAUUAAAUCAGUUAUCGUUUAUUUGAUAGUACCCUACUACAUGGAUACCUGUGGUAAUUCUAGAGCUAAUACAUGCGUAAAACCCCGACUCACGAAGGGGUGUAUUUAUUAGAUAAAAAACCAAUGCCCCUCGGGGCUCCUUGGUGAUUCAUAAUAACUUAACGAAUCGCAUGGCCUUGCGCCGGCGAUGGUUCAUUCAAAUUUCUGCCCUAUCAACUUUCGAUGGUAGGAUAGUGGCCUACCAUGGUGGCAACGGGUAACGGGGAAUUAGGGUUCGAUUCCGGAGAGGGAGCCUGAGAAACGGCUACCACAUCCAAGGAAGGCAGCAGGCGCGCAAAUUACCCAAUCCCGAUGCGGGGAGGUAGUGACAAUAAAUACUGAUACAGGGCUCUUUUGGGUCUUGUAAUUGGAAUGAGUGCAAUCUAAAUCUCUCAACGAGGAACAAUUGGAGGGCAAGUCUGGUGCCAGCAGCCGCGGUAAUUCCAGCUCCAAUAGCGUAUAUUAAAGUUGUUGCAGUUAAAAAGCUCGUAGUUGAACCUUGGGCCUGUCCUGCCGGUCCGCCUCACCGCGAGUACUGGUCCGGAUGGGCCUUUCUUUCUGGGGAAUCCCAUGGCCUUCACUGGCCGUGGCGGGGAACCAGGACUUUUACUGUGAAAAAAUUAGAGUGUUCAAAGCAGGCCUUUGCUCGGAUACAUUAGCAUGGAAUAAUAGAAUAGGACGUGCGGUUCUAUUUUGUUGGUUUCUAGGACCGCCGUAAUGAUUAAUAGGGAUAGUCGGGGGCGUCAGUAUUCAGCUGUGAGAGGUGAAAUUCUUGGACCAGCUGAAGACUAACUACUGCGAAAGCAUUCGCCAAGGAUGUUUUCAUUAAUCAGGGAACGAAAGUUAGGGGAUCGAAGACGAUCAGAUACCGUCGUAGUCUUAACCAUAAACUAUGCCGACUAGGGAUCGGGCGGUGUUUCUAUGAUGACCCGCUCGGCACCUUACGAGAAAUCAAAG